rnacentral:sRNA from 1 species
UCUGCCCUGCGGGGAAGGAUGAGAAGCUUCGACUAAGGUUCGACUCGAGCGUCAGCGAGAGAACGUUGCCGCAGGCAACGGCCCGAAGGGCGAGGAGCGAUAGCGACGAGUUAUCCUUCCCCCACUACUG